UGCAAGUCGAACGGCAGCACGGGAGCAAUCCUGGUGGCGAGUGGCGAACGGGUGAGUAAUAUAUCGGAACGUGCCCAGUCGUGGGGGAUAACGCAGCGUAAGCUGUGCUAAUACCGCAUACGAUCUAUGGAUGAAAGCGGGGGAUCGCAAGACCUCGCGCGAUUGGAGCGGCCGAUAUCAGAUUAGCUAGUUGGCGGGGUAAAGGCCCACCAAGGCGACGAUCUGUAGCUGGUCUGAGAGGACGACCAGCCACACUGGAACUGAGACACGGUCCAGACUCCUACGGGAGGCAGCAGUGGGGAAUUUUGGACAAUGGGCGAAAGCCUGAUCCAGCAAUGCCGCGUGCAGGAUGAAGGCCUUCGGGUUGUAAACUGCUUUUGUACGGAACGAAACGGCCUACUCUAAUACGGUGGGCUAAUGACGGUACCGUAAGAAUAAGCACCGGCUAACUACGUGCCAGCAGCCGCGGUAAUACGUAGGGUGCGAGCGUUAAUCGGAAUUACUGGGCGUAAAGCGUGCGCAGGCGGUUAUAUAAGACAGAUGUGAAAUCCCCGGGCUCAACCUGGGACCUGCAUUUGUGACUGUAUAGCUAGAGUACGGUAGAGGGGGAUGGAAUUCCGCGUGUAGCAGUGAAAUGCGUAGAUAUGCGGAGGAACACCGAUGGCGAANGCAAUCCCCUGGACCUGUACUGACGCUCAUGCACGAAAG
rnacentral:rRNA from 1 species